UGAAAAGCCCUGUGGGCUGGAGGUCUUCUCCUUCUUCCCACGUUGGCACCAUUUUUCUAUUUUCCCACUGUGAAAUUGUGGCCUAGGUCUGAGAGUCCUGCAGGAACAUCCGCUGCAAAGAAAACAGUACUUAAACAAGACUAAUUACUUUAGUCAUUACCAACAGGGAUUUGGAUUUCUAGGUGGGAUUAGGGAAACCAAAUUCUGACUUCAUGUUGACUGCUUGACUUCUGGAUCUAUCUGGUCUGGCAAAGUUCUACUCAAGGAAACUUUACUGCCUGCCUCAGCAGAUGUGAAUCUCAUUGACACUCCACUGGCAGCAUUAACCAGAUGUUUGUUGACAAUAAAAGAUCUGUGAUGACUAGUUCAGAUGUGCAUACCUGCACUGCAGACAUCCAGAGUGAGGCAGGUAACUACAGCUGGUGACAGGGCACUGCUGCAGGAUGGUAAGCAUCUGCACAACCAUUGCUCAAGUGAGAAUAAAGAUGUGCAGCACCAACAAAAUCGUGUAAAAGCAACAGAAAGCAGUGGGGGUUUACAAGAAAAAAAUAAAAUGAUUAUAUUAGAGAACAGUAGGGAUUCAUGCUAUUUUUCUCUUCUCAUCUAAUUUGAUUAUUUGCUCUAACAUUCUAUACUGUAAUAUCAGAGUACUCAACGGCUGGCUCUUAAGGAUUUUAGCUGAAAGAAUGUCUAGGAUAAAGUGGAAAAAAAAGGCAGAAGAUAAAUAUUUUUUAUGAAAUCAUGUUUAACUUUCAUGUAAAUUACAAAGUACAGAGAAUUAGUCUAUAAUUCUUGUAUCACAGUUUGCUGGAACUUACCAGAAACAAAUAAAAGACCUAAUCUUACCACGUGGGAGGAGGCAAGGCAAACUUCUAAUUUUCAAAGAUACCUUCAAACUUUUCCCUCCCUUUGAAAUAUGCAUGUAAUUAUGCUUCUCACCUCUGAAACUUUCUGAGUGAGAAAGUUCCCUUGAAAGUCCAGAGCCUUGAUCUUUAAUGUGGAGUUUUUUGAGCUGUUUGAUCAGUGUCUAUGGAUUAAAGCAUUAGCAUUUUAAAGGAUAUAAUGCUGAAAAUGGUUUGGGCCUGAUUUUGUAAUCACCCCGCUUGGCUUUCACAGGAUGCUGAGCUUUGAUUUUGUGGUCAUCAAAGUGAAAGAUAGUAGUCAUCUGUGAUGUGCUAUUAGUACAAGUUCAUGAUUGUUGAUCUGAAUCUCCCGUAUAGUUUGACAGAGUUCGAAAGAAAAGCAAGAAUAAAGAAAGGAACAUUCACCUUUCUUAGUAGACUGAAAGCUAAUCAUCACUUCUGCUUCUUGGUAUCUUAUUUGCCAAAUAAUACUCUACAGGUCAUUUGCAUUUCUCUUUCACAAUCAAGUCUGUUAAAAAGCAUGAGUUAUGCAUGCAAGAGCUUUCCGCUACAAUUUUGCUCUCCUUUCACAUUCAUGUAUACCUUGAGUGAUAAAUUAAGUCUGAAGAUACAACAGGCAAAGCUGUGAAAUGCAUCUCAUCCUAUGGGGUCCUUUUCUCAGCAAUACAGAAAUGGAAGAUGUCUUCCCAGGUAUUCAGGAACAUUGUGUUACCAUUCCCAGAUUUUACAACAGAAGCUCACCACAUUCAGAGUUAAUAUAUGUAAUUUAGGAUAGAAUGAAGGAUGUUUGUGCUUGUGGCAUGAGGGAAAAUGCCCACUGGUAUUUAAUUUCUAUACCUUUUGUCUGGUUAAGAAAGCAUAUGGCUUGUACUAGAGUUCUCAUACCUCAUUAAGCAUAGAGAACUUCCAUCAAUAAGGGAUGGCGUCACAGUUAGGUUGAAAUGAGUUUAAUGUGUGUAUUCACACAUACUGCUGGUCCCAGCAGAGUUGGGCCAAGUUUAUGCUGACGACGCUUCCUUUUACCUACCCAUCAGAGCAACAUGGGGCCCUUCCACCUAGCAGGGUGCAAGGCAAAGUGAGCCAAGGUCAUAUGGCCAAAUAAAUGCUUGGGAUCAGCCUUUCAGUUGAGAUUUUCUUCAACAGAAAAGCUUCUAGUGAGGGAUUUUGAGAAGGGGGAAUUGUUACUGUUGUUUUUUAAAACAAAAGCCUUUUGUGCAUCUUGGCGCUCUCUUCUUAAGCUAGGCUGACAGGAUUGCUCCAUUCAUCCUUUCUGAGCCAUGCAGGAUUUUUCAUUUUCAUCCUUUCUGAGCCACAGAGAGCCUUCCCUCUGGACUGUGUGUCUGCAGGAGGCUGGUGCUUGGUGGACACUCUGAAGCUUUGGCCUUGCCAGUCCUCUCAGCCACCUGCCUCCCUGGUUGGUAGGAAGGGCAGGGGCUCUGGUCCCUUCAUAAGGGGUUUGGUGGGAGGAGAGCAAGACUUCUUUUUUUUUCUUUUUUUCUGAAAAUGAGACCUUGCUAUAUCUGUAUAGAGAUAUUAAAAAUGCUUCAGCAGGGGCAAUUCUGGCUUACACAGCUGCGAUGGAAAGCAAAGACCAGCAAAUCCCAUCUGGAGACUGGUUUGUUGAUGGGUGAGAAUGGUUGAUGUAGCAAAUUCCUUUUUUAAAACAUUUUUCAACCUGUGACUGUUUGCAGUAAGUUUCAAACCAGACUGUAUCAGCCAAGCAGAAUACGUGUUCAAACUCUGCUGAAAGCCUGCAGCCAACAAGAAAGAUAAAGGCAUUCUGUUCCUCACACUCUGCAAUAAUAGGGAAGGCAUUAAUAAUGCUGAGUUGAGAAACAAGCCCUCUGCUGAGAUAGCUUUGUGCAAUAAUAGCAAGAGCCUGUUCAUGGUCUCAGUGUACUCUUCAUUUACUAGGUACACUCUGUACAAAUUAUGCAAACUUGCUCAAGCCCCUGGAAAUACAAAAUUCACCAGCUAAUUAAACAGAGCUUGACAGCACAGUAGUGACCACUUCACCUCACAUCCAGUGUCAGAGAGGGAAGAUAAUAUUGUGAUGUAGGCAUAAGCAUGUGCUAGAGGACAGAUGGUAUUCAGUCUGAGCUCUGUGCUCGAUUCUGCUCGAGUUCUCAUGGGAAUCAUAUUUCUGAUUGAACAACUUGUCUCCAUUAAUAAUAUAAAUCUAAAAUUUGGUGGGGAUAGGCAGGACUGUCUCUUGAUAUAGAUGAAUAUUUAGCCCAAUCUGUGUUAAAUUUUGAAAGUACCAGUAUGUUUCUGUAACAUAAAUAAUUCUGAGUCAUAUAAAAUACAAGGAAAUGGAUGACAGCUAGUGCAGAGGCAGCAGCAUCUGUAAAAUAAAGUGAGCCCCAGGAUGCCUUCGAUGUUUCUUCUAGGAAGUUUAGAUUUCUAUUUAUUUAUUUACAUUCAAAUAGUUCAUAAGAUCUGGAAGAUAUAUUUCCAGUAUAUGAUAUUACAAACAUUUCAGUUGUCCAUGGAAUAGGGCAACUUGCUUUCUGAAUGUCAAAUGGGACAGCAAAUGUGCAAAUAUUUGCAGUAAAAGGUCCUUAGCGAGGAACUAUGCUGAAAACCAAGUCAUUGGUUAAGAUUUCAUAUGGUGGUCAUAAUCUCCAAAUAAAACUAAAAGAAAGCAAUCAAUCAAACAAGCUCCAUGAAGCAUAUUUAUGAAGUUGUGGAAACUCUGGAAGGAACUGAAAUUCUUUUG